GAACCUAAAGGAAAAGCCUAGUAAACUGCACUAUUUGAUACAGCCACUAGGUGGAGCAGUCUAAAUGCAGGACAGCGCUAUCAGUUAGUGGUGAUAAUGUGCUUUCUUUCAGCAGUAAACCGAGAGACUGCAAGCAACAACUGAUUUAGUCCUGUCUUUACUUUUCCUAUUUUAACAGUAGUAAAACCGAGAGACUGCAAGCAACAACUGAUUUAGUCCUGUCUUUACUUUUCCUAUUUUAACAGAUUAAACACUAUCUUCUGUUUAUGGACUCUCUGCCCGAGACCCGUAACACAUGCACACUUUAUUUUAUCCAUAACAGAACUUCUUACCUUCAUAGCCAAGCUCAGACCGCCGCUAGAAGCGGCGGAACCCAUAUUUAUAUCUGCAGGUGACCCAAUCACCAGAAACCUAGCUCUGGCUAUGUAUGCAUACAGCCAUACAGAAUACAACAUUUAUUUUAAACUUGUGGCAUUCAAUACACCACAUUCCUCCCCGAUUUGUGUGUGUGUAUAUAUAUAUAUAUAUAUAUAUUGUGAUAAAUGUACAGGAGUAAGUAGUAAUGCAACAUAGAAGGGUGAGGUUCUAUAGUUGCAUUGCUACAGGGCCAUUUAUCACAAAGAAUUUGGCGAUACAGCUUUAAAUUACCUCACAGAGUAGCUGCCGUAGGGCUCCACUUCUGGGAUGGCUAAAGGGGUUAAUUAAUAGCAGCUGGAAGGGGGGAGGGGAGCAUUAUAUAAGGCGGUGAAUAGCGAGAAAAAAGGGAUGAAAAAAAUCCCUGCAACACAUAACUGUGUGUUGGAACCACGAGUAAUGGACUGUUUUAUAGAGAGUCAACACAGUUAAGUUCAAGACUUUUAUUUUUAGUUGUUGGCUGGAACAAGUUCAUGGUAUUUUGAGUUGGCUGUGGAGAAAACAAGCCUUGUUCUUUUCUUUCUUUUUUACUUCAUAAAACGCUGGGAUUACUUCAUCCUCCUUGCUCAGGACUUACCUGCAGGGGGCACUCUCGAUCAUCGGUGGACCCUGGAAACUCUGAGCAGGGAUAAUACAAUUGCAAAGGCUAGAAAGGAAAAAACCUUACCGGGAGUCAUCCUGGUGGCGAGAGGUGGAAUUGCAGGCCAGCAGACUUACCAUUGACUGAACUCUUAUCACCCCAGAGUGUGUGUGGUGGUGUUUUUGUGUGUGAGUUGGGUGAGGGCUAGCCUUAACCAACUGUUAAGACUAGGGAACUGAAGCAGUUAAGACUAGGGCCCGGUGAGUGGGCUAGGUUUUUUUAUUUUCUGGCAACCCCCUGGAAAGUUGUGUUUUUUCAUUGUAAAUAAACCCUCACUUAGACUUCA